AGCAGCCGCGGUAAUUCCAGCUCCAAUAGCGUAUAUUAAAGUUGUUGCAGUUAAAAAGCUCGUAGUUGAAUUUCGGAAUCAAUUUAUUGGUCGUGCAAUAGUACGUACUGGUUUUAUUGGUUCCUCCCUUCUGAUGAACCAUGAUGUCAUUAAUUUGGUGUUAUGGGGAAUCAGGACUGUUACUUUGGAAAAAUUAGAGUGUUUAAAGCAGGCUCACGCUUGAAUACAUUAGCAUGGAAUAAUGAAAUAGGACGUUUGAUUCUAUUUUGUUGGUUUCUAGGAUCGACGUAAUGAUUAAUAGGGAUAGUUGGGGGCAUCAGUAUUCAAUUGUCAGAGGUGAAAUUCUUGGAUUUAUUGAAGACUAACUACUGCGAAAGCAUUUGCCAAGGAUGUUUUCAUUAAUCAAGAACGAAAGUUAGGGGAUCGAAGACGAUCAGAUACCGUCGUAGUCUUAACCAUAAACUAUGCCGGCUAGGGAUCGGAUGAUGUUAAUUUUUAAUGACUCAUUCGGCACCUUAAC
rnacentral:rRNA from 1 species